UUGCCCGUUGCCCUAAAACUAAUAUUAAAGAACACUGGGGGUUUGAUAUCAAGUCUCUUUCCUUCUACAGAUUUGUCUGAUUUAUUCUUGGAGAUUUCUGAAUGGAAAAUGACUGUCAAGUUCCUGAUUAUCUCAUUUGUUAAACUGUGGAAUCUAUGUAGAAUCUAUGUACCAACAGAAAAGCGAUGACAACCAGUCUCCUCCAGCAUUCAAUGGAGUACUAAUGUUCAGAGAAAAAGAGACGUGGCACCACACCAAUAUUCCUGCUCAUUAGUGAAAAUCCUGUUCCUAGGGAAACUGUGCUGUUGGACGCAUCUCUUGAUUAGCUUCAGAGCAACUGAAAUGGUUCUGUGUCUCUGGCUUACUACUUGUAAGGUGAACCUGGGAUUCUUUUAAGGGCAAACGAAAGUCAAGAAAUUAAAUAGGAAUAUGAAUCUCCAGAAUUUCUAUUAGCAAUGAUGAGAUUCAGUUUUUUGCUUGCAUCCCUCAUGUGAUCAUCUGCAUGAAAAAGGGUGGGAUGCUGGAUGGUGACAAAGUGGUCCCAAAUCUCAAGGCUUUUUCCACCAAUUGAUCAAGCUGAACUCAAGUGGAGAACUGCUAUUUGGAGUUCUAUUUCUUGGGUGACCAUGAGUGAGAGGUGGUGCAAUGCAUAACUAAUGACAUAGAUACAAUGCAACAGAUUUAUCUUUAUACCACUCAAGUGGAACAGCUGUGAAAAAGACAGGGGUCCUAACCUCACAAGGUACAUAAAUGAUAAAUGUGAAAUAAUAUUUUCUCUCGCACUGUAUUCUUUCAUGUUUGAUAAUGCUGUAUAGAGUGGCUGUUAUCUUAAGAUCUCUAUCACAAUACUGUAUACUGCGUUUUAUUGUUAAGUAAAUAACUAUGCUACCUUCAUAUAUUUAGUGCAUUUGUUUCUUAAAUUAAAAUGCUAAAAUUCUCUUAAAAUACCUACAAAGUGAGUAGCAUCUUUUCAAUGCUAUUUGUUAUGGUGAAGCCUAAUGAUAUUUCUUAUUCAGAGUCUGUAACCAUUUGAUGUGAAAACAAAUAAUUAAAAUAAAUUAUGCCCUUAGAGUCUACAAACUAAGGAGACAAAAAUAGCUAUCUGAGAGAGAGGUUAAUACAGGGAUAUCUGUUGACAGUACUAUGAAGACCUCAAAGGGAUACAUACAUUUUUCUGCCUGAAAUGAUGUGCGCAAGGAAUUCCAUAUCAGAUUAAGCUUAGUGAGCUGGAUUUCUGGUAAUAGAUUUUUAGAAAAAAAUGUGGUUACCCAGGGGUGUUGUUUACUUCCCAACU